GCACCUGCAGCUCUCUCCGGCCCGGCCCUCAGGGUCCCGCCCCGCCCCGCCGGCCGCUCCUCUCACCGCCCGCUCUCGCCGCCGCAGUCCUGGCCGGUCACCUUGACGCGGGCCGCAGCGGCUGCCGCCGCCUCCUCAUGGCCCUGGGAACGGCCCAGGCGGCAGCGGCGACUUCGCUCGGAGGCUGGAGCCGGGCCGAGCCGGGCCAGGGCCGGGCCGGGCGCAGCUGGAGCGCGGGCCGACGCGGGAGCAGAGCCGGUGCCCAGCCGCAGUAGGAACCCUCACUGCAGAGGCGGAGACACGCAAAUCGGCCGGCUGGGCGCUCCAGUGCGCAGCCGCUGCAACCCAGGUCCUCCCUGGCCUCGGCCUCCGCUAGAAGCCCUCAGACGCGGUCUCCGCCUGCAAGGAUGCUCUGCAGCCUGCACACUCCGAUCAGCGCCCCGCCACGCCCAUCUUCUUCCUAGAAAUAGCAGUGCAUCUUAUUCCCCAUACAUCCUUCCAGGCCUCAUACAGUUUCCCUUUGAAAUCCCUACCUAAGAUUCAUUUGUUUUUCAACAACAAAAAAAUGGCUUUGUGAGAAACAUCACCUGAAUGCCCAUUCUUUAUGACUCGGAGGUAGGCACAGAACACAGAACAUCAAAGCCAGAAGAAACCUUCGGGAGCCUCGAGUCCAAUCCAUUUCAUUUAUAUCUGGGCAAAAUCAGGCCUCUCGAGGUAAAAAGACUUGCCCAAGACCACAUAAGUACAAAGCUGGGAAAUGGAGUUGUCUCAUCUUUCGGCUCCCAGAUCCUUUUCUCUGUGCCACGCACGAUGAGAUGAGCAGAAAGGUUAAGUCAUUUGAUCAAAAGACCCCCGAGAUAAUAAGUUGUAAAGGCGGCGGAAGCCAGUUCUGUGAAGCCCUGCAAGUCAGAACCACAGAAAAUCUCUGUUCUGCCUCCCACAGAAUGGAGGCUCUAUGUCCUACGUUACUCUGAAUGAUUCUUGGAUGCACAAACAAGUAGUAUAAGUCAUUUCUGACAACUUUCGAAUUCAUUCUGCAGUAAUAUCAGAGUAUGAAAAGAUUUGUUACUGUCUUCCCAU
ensembl:lncRNA